AAAUAGAUUAAAAUAAUUAAGGGCACACAAAGGAUGCCUAGGUAGUAAGAGCCGAUGAAGGACGUGGUAAGCUGCGAUAAGCCUAGAUAAGUUGCAAUCGAACGUAAGAGUCUAGGAUUUCCGAAUGGAGCAAUCUAUUAAGAUGGAGUCUUAAUACGAAAGAGGGAACCACGUGAACUGAAACAUCUAAGUAACGUGAGGAAAAGAAAGUAAAAACGAUACCCAAAGUAGCGGCGAGCGAACUGGGUCAAGCCUAAACCUUAAAUAUGUCAAGGAUACAGCCGUUGUAUUUAAGGGGUUGAGGGACAAAGUAGUGAAGAACUGUAAGAUAUUCAAUAUAGUGUAUUGAUGAAUUAGAAUUGUAUGGAAAGAUAAACCGCAGAAGGUGAGAGUCCUGUAUAAGUAAAUCUUUACACAUAUAACUUUGCUCCCAAGUAACAUGGAACACGAGGAAUUCUGUGUGAAUCAGUGAGGACCAUAUCUCAUAAGGCUAAAUACUCUUACUAACCGAUAGUGCAUAGUACCGUGAGGGAAAGGUGAAAAGAACCCCUGGAGGGGAGUGAAAUAGAACCUGAAAUUGUGUGCUUACAAGCGGUCAGAGCCCAUUUGGGUGAUGGCGUGCCUUUUGGAGAAUGAUCCUGCGAGUUAUGUUAAACGGCGAGGUUAAGUAUAACGGAGCCGAAGGGAAACCAAGUCUUAAUAGGGCGAUAUAGUCGUUUGGCGUAGACGCGAAACCUGGUGAUCUAAACCUGUCCAGGAUGAAGCUGUGGUAAGACACAGUGGAGGUCCUAACCCACCGCCGUUGAAAAGUUGGGGGAUGAGGUAGGUUUAGGGGUGAAAAGCCAAUCGAACCAGGAGAUAGCUCGUUCUCUCCGAAAUGCAUCUAGGUGCAGCCUUGAGUGUUCAAUUAUGGGGGUAGAGCACUGAAUGAUCUAGGGGGCAUAUUGCUUACUGAAAUCAAUCAAACUCCAAAUACCAUAAUUUAUAGCUCAGGAGUGAGACCAUGGGAGUUAACUUCCAUUGUCAAAAGGGAAACAACCCAGACCACCAGCUAAGGUCCCUAAUUAUAACUAAGUGGGAAAGGAGGUGGAGAUUCACAAACAACUAGGAGGUUGGCUUAGAAGCAGCCAUACCUUUAAAGAGUGCGUAAUAGCUCACUAGUCGAGAGUCUCUGCGCCGACAAUGUAACGGGGCUAAGUUAUAAACCGAAGCUGUGGAAUCCUUAUGGAUUGGUAGGAGAGCGUUCUGUAGGCUGUUGAAGAAGAAGGGUAACUAACUUUGGAGGUAUCAGAAGUGAGAAUGCAGGAAUAAGUAGCGAGAAAGGGGGCGAGAAUCCCCCUCGCCGGAAGACCAAGGUUUUCAGGGUAAAGCUUGUCUUCCCUGAGUAAGCCGGGACCUAAGCCCAGGCUAUAAUGCGUAGGCGAAUGGAAAACAGAUUAAUAUUUCUGUGCCAGUCAUUUAUUGUGAUGGAGGGACGCAGAAGGGUAUGUUCUCGGACGAUUGGUUGUGUCCGUAGAAGUAUGUAGGGUUACUUAGUAGGUAAAUCCAUUAAGUUAUAUCUGAGGUAUGAUAUACAGUCGUAAGAUGAAUGUACAAAUCCCACGCUGCCAAGAAAAACUUCUAACGUUAAUAUAUGACUGCCCGUACUGUAAACCGACACAGGUGGUCAGGAUGAGAAAUCUAAGGCGGACAGGCUAACUCUCGUUAAGGAACUCUGCAAAAUAACCUCGUAACUUCGGGAGAAGAGGAGCCCUUGUGUGUUAGUAUACAUGCGAUACAAAGCGCACGAGGGUCGCAGUGAAGAGGCUCAAGCAACUGUUUAACAAAAACACAGGUCUAUGCUAAGCUGUAAGGCGAUGUAUAUGGGCUGACACCUGCCCAGUGCUGGAAGGUUAAGAGGAGGAGUGAGAGCUCCUAAUUGAAGCCCCAGUGAACGGCGGCCGUAACUAUAACGGUCCUAAGGUAGCGAAAUUCCUUGUCGGGUAAGUUCCGACCUGCACGAAUGGUGUAAUGAUUUGAGUGCUGUCUUGACGGGAGGCCUGGUGAAAUUGUAUUACCGGUGAAGAUACCGGUUACCUACAGUAGGACGGAAAGACCCCAUGGAGCUUUACUGUAGCUUGGUAUUGGGUUUUGGCAUUGCAUGUAUAGGAUAGUUGGGAGACUAUGAUGGUAUGGCGCUAGCUGUAUCGGAGUCAUCGGUGGAAUACCAACCAUUCAAUGCUGAAAUUCUAAUCUGUGGUUUGUUGCCACGGAGACAGUGCUAGGUGGGCAGUUUGACUGGGGCGGUCGCCUCCGAAAGAGUAACGGAGGCGUUCAAAGGUUCUCUCAGGUUGGAUGGAAAUCAACCAUAGAGUGCAAUGGCAUAAGAGAGCUUGACUGCAAGACUGACGGGUCGAGCAGAUGCGAAAGCAGGACAUAGUGAUCCGGCGAUUCCGAAUGGAAGGGUCGUCGCUCAACGGAUAAAAGCUACCCUGGGGAUAACAGGCUGAUCCUACCCGAGAGUCCAUAUCGACGGUAGGGUUUGGCACCUCGAUGUCGGCUCAUCGCAUCCUGGGGCUGGAGAAGGUCCCAAGGGUUGGGCUGUUCGCCCAUUAAAGCGGUACGUGAGCUGGGUUCAGAACGUCGUGAGACAGUUCGGUCCCUAUCCACUGUAGGCGUUAGAAUAUUGAGAAGACCUGUCCUUAGUACGAGAGGACCGGGAUGGACAAACCUCUGAUGUACCAGUUGUCACGCCAGUGGCACAGCUGGGUAGUCACGUUUGGAAUAGAUAAUCGCUGAAAGCAUCUAAGCGAGAAACUAACUUCAAGAUAAGUAUUCUUUAAGAUACCUUUGAGACUAGGAGGUUGAUAGGUUGGAGGUGUAAGUACAGCAAUGUAUUUAGCUGACCAAUACUAAUUAUCAAAGUUUUAAUCUAAAAUCUACUAUAUAGUUUC
rnacentral:rRNA from 1 species